CCACAACAACAGCUGUUGCUCCACAAGUCACAACAACAACAGUUGCUCCAGAAGCCACAACAACUACUGCUUCUCCACAAACCACAACAACAUCAGUAGCUACAGAAGCCACAACAACAGCAGCUCCUGAAGCAACAACUACAGCAGUUCCAGAUCCCUGUGCUUCAAACCCUUGUGGCAAAGGAAGCACAUGUGAGGCUCGAGCCAAUAAGGGCUUUGUAUGUUUGUGUCUGGCUGGUGAUAACUACAACAACAAAACACAUCGUUGUGACCUGCCAAAGUUUUUCCCGGACACAUAAACCUGCCUGACAUAGUAUAUGAAAACAGCAUGUCAGACAAGGCAUCACCAGCGUUCAAAAGGACUGCAGACCUUAUUACCCAAGAGCUGGACAAGAGUCUGGGAUCUGAUCCUACUUAUGUUCGAUCUAUAGUGCUGGAACUGUGG